GGCGCGCCCCGGGCGGGGCGGGGGCACGGGGGGAACGCGAAGAACCUUACCUGGCCUUGACAUCCAGAGAACUUAGCAGAGAUGGUUUGGUGCCUUCGGGAACUGUGAGACAGGUGCUGCAUGGCUGUCGUCAGCUCGUGUUGUGAAAUGUUGGGUUAAGUCCCGCAACGAGCGCAACCCUUAUCCUUUGUUGCCAGCGAUUCGGUCGGGAACUCAAAGGAGACUGCCGGUGAUAAACCGGAGGAAGGUGGGGAUGACGUCAAGUCAUCAUGGCCCUUACGGCCAGGGCUACACACGUGCUACAAUGGCGCAUACAAAGAGAAGCGACCUCGCGAGAGCAAGCGGACCUCAUAAAGUGCGUCGUAGUCCGGAUUGGAGUCUGCAACUCGACUCCAUGAAGUCGGAAUCGCUAGUAAUCGUAGAUCAGAAUGCUACGGUG
rnacentral:rRNA from 1 species